GAUGAACGCUGGCGGCGUGCCUAAUACAUGCAAGUCGAGCGAACGGACGAGAAGCUUGUUUCUUUGAUGUUAGCGGCGGACGGGUGAGUAACACGUGGAUCACCUACUUAUAAUACUGGGAUAAUUUCGGGAAACCGGAGCUAAUACCGGAUAAUAUUUUGAACCGCAUGGUUCAAAAGUGCAAGACGGCCUUGCUGUCUCUUAUAGAUGGAUCCGCGCUGCAUUAGCUAGUUGGUAAGGUAACGGCCUACCAAGGCAACGAUGCAUAGCCGACCUGAGAGGGUGAUCGGCCACACUGGAACUGAGACACGGUCCAGACUCCUACGGGAGGCAGCAGUAGGGAAUAUUCCGCAAUGGGCGAAAGCCUGACGGAGCAACGCCGCGUGAGUGAUGAAGGUCUUCGGAUCGUAAAGCUCUGUUAUUAGGGAAGAACAUAUGUGUAAGUAACUGUGCACAUCUUGACGGUACCUAAUCAAAAAGCCCCGGCUAACUACGUG
rnacentral:rRNA from 1 species